GGAACAGUAGCUCAGUGGUAGAGCACUAUUACAAGAUAGCAAUCGCAGGUUCGAAUCCUGCCCGUUCCA
rnacentral:tRNA from 1 species